UACGGAGGGAGCUAGCGUUGUUCGGAAUUACUGGGCGUAAAGCGCACGUAGGCGGAUCGAUCAGUCAGGGGUGAAAUCCCAGAGCUCAACUCUGGAACUGCCUUUGAUACUGUCGAUCUGGAGUAUGGAAGAGGUGAGUGGAAUUCCGAGUGUAGAGGUGAAAUUCGUAGAUAUUCGGAGGAACACCAGUGGCGAAGGCGGCUCACUGGUCCAUUACUGAC
rnacentral:rRNA from 1 species